rnacentral:rRNA from 1 species
AGUGAACGCUGGCGGCGUGCCUAAUACAUGCAAGUCGAACGCGAAAGUCCUUCGGGAUGAGUAAAGUGGCGCACGGGUGAGUAAUGCAUGAGAACAUGCCCUUAGAUGGGGAAUAACGUUUGGAAACGAACGCUAAUACCGCAUAAUCUCGAGAGAGUAAAGGUGGCGCCGCAAGGGCUACCGUCUAAGGAUUGGCUCAUGUCCCAUUAGCUAGUUGGCGGGGUAAUGGCCCACCAAGGCAACGAUGGGUAUGUGGUCUGAGAGGAUGAUCACACACACUGGAACUGAGACACGGUCCAGACUCCUACGGGAGGCAGCAGUAGGGAAUAUUGCACAAUGGGGGAAACCCUGAUGCAGCAACGCCGCGUGAGUGAAGAAGGCCCUUGGGUCGUAAAGCUCUUUAGCGAGGGAAGAGGGUAGUUACGGUGAAUAAUCGUGAUUGCUGACGGUACCUCGAGAAUAAGCACCGGCUAAUUUCGUGCCAGCAGCCGCAGUAA